AGUGCGAGAGAUGGGGCGAACAGGCUGGACCGGCCGACUGGAGCGGGGGUGGAAUGAUUCACAGGCUUCGUUGCGGAUGUGGCCGCGACGGCCCCGCGUUCCCUGCAGAUGUGCAUGACCUCACUAGUACAACUUAGUCGAGGAUGGAGUCUCCAGUCCAUCCUUCUAGUCUGAGAGAAUCCACGUCUCCGGGUUGGAUCCCGGUCGGGAACUCCCGAGGGGGCGGAUGCUGAGCCAUCGCAUUCCCGGGAUGCCUUCGGGCCAUCCCAGCGAGCCCAGGUUCCCACGCGGUGGCUUCCCUGGUCCCCUGGGCUCGAAAGCCCCUCCCGCCAAGCCACCGGGUGCUAGUCAACUUCCUCCUUUAGAGAAACCCUAGCCUCUUGAGUAACCACGGCUACCCGCACCUGGGUGGCCAGUGUGCCAAACACUCUGCCGGGCCCCCAGGUGGCGCACAGUAAAUGAACUAAGAAAGAAGCCAAGCUGAGAGACUUUAAUGGAGACUUCAAUGGGGCAGGGUGGGGAGGAGCCUGGAAUCACAGAGUAUGGAGGUCGUGACUGCGACGGCUCAGUUUCUCUGGGUCGUCCGACGCCAUGAGGGAGAAGUCUCGGAAUAUGUCGAGAUACGUCUCGUCUCCUAAGGAAAUCAGAGGAAAGACUGGGAGGCUGGACAGCCGGGCUACACAGUAGGGGUGGUCCUGGCAGGGUAAGCACUUUAAAGUGUGGGUGCAUCCUAAGUACAGUACCUUUGUUCCACAGGUCAGGCACGUUCGCUGUGCCCAAAACAUGUUUGUUGAAUAAACAAUGGUAUUAAUGC
rnacentral:lncRNA from 1 species